GAAGCCAUUUGAGGUUCUCCCUUACCCGGUGCUGUAUCUAUGCACGGAGCCGCCUGGAGGCAGCAUUCACACAGCUUGCUACAGGCCUGUCUUUGGAGAGUACACUUUGCUGGGGUUUCAUCAUACAGAAAAAAGCUAAGAAGAAAUUACACAAUAUUCCACUUUACUGGACACAGAAGCUCUGAGGUGAAGUUGACCAAAAUAUAUGGGAAGUUCAUCUGCAGAUUCCUAAUGUUGGGAUGUAAUUGAUUGCUAUCUGUCUCAGGAGUUGUACAUAUAGAGGUAAAAAAAGCAUAGAGAUAGGAAGAGAUCUGAUGGAGGUGAUCUCUGGAUUUAUGAUGAACUAUAGACUCAGAGGCCGCAGGGAAAGGAUGAAUGAACAAGGUCUGUUCGAUUGAGAGAGAAACAAGGAAUGUAUGUAAAUCUUCAAAUGUGUGAAAGACUUCAGCAAAGAUAAA